UACGUAGGGUGCAAGCGUUGGUCCGGAAUUAUUUGGGCGUAAAGAGCUCGUAGGACGGUUCGUCGCGUCGGCUGUGAAAACCCGGAGCUCAACUCCGGGCCCGUGCAGUCGAUACGGGCGGACUCGAGUUCGGCAGGGGAGGACGUGGAAUUCCUGGUGGUAGCGGUGGAAAAUGCGCAGAUAUCAAGGAGGAACACCGAUGGCGAAGGCAGUUCUCUGGGCCGUAACUGACGCUGAGGAGCGAAAGCGUGGGGAGCGAACAGGG
rnacentral:rRNA from 1 species